rnacentral:rRNA from 1 species
CACGUAGGGCGCAAGCGUUGUCCGGAAUUAUUGGGCGUAAAGAGCUCGUAGGCGGUCUGUUGCGUCCGACGUGUCGAAAACUCGGGGCUCAACUCCGGGCCUGCAGCCGAUACGGGCAGACUAGAGUUCGGCAGGGGAGACUGGAAUUCCUGGUGUAGGCGGUAGAAAUGCGCAGAUAUCAGGAGGAACACCGGUGGCGAAGGCGGGUCUCUGGGCCGAUGACUGACGCUGGAGGAGCGAAAGACGUGGGAAGCGAACAGG